rnacentral:rRNA from 1 species
UACGGGGGGGGCAAGCGUUGUUCGAAAUUACUGGGCGUAAAGGGCUCGUAGGUGGCCAACUAAGUCGGACGUGAAAUCCCUCGGCUUAACCGGGGAACUGCGUCCGAUACUGGUUGGCUUGAGUUUGGGAGAGGGAUGCGGAAUUCCAGGUGUAGCGGUGAAAUGCGUAGAUAUCUGGAGGAAUACCGGUGGCGAAGGCGGCAUCCUGGACCGAGAUUGACACUGAUGAGCGAAAGCUAGGGGAGCAAACGGG